rnacentral:rRNA from 1 species
UACGGAGGGUGCAAGCGUUGUUCGGAAUCAUUGGGCGUAAAGCGCGUGUAGGCGGCUUGGCAAGUCGGUUGUGAAAGCCCGGGGCCCAACCCCGGAAUUGCAUCCGAAACUGCCUGGCUAGGGUUCCGGAGAGGAAGGCAGAAUUCCCGGUGUAGGGGUGAAAUCCGUAGAUAUCGGGAGGAAUACCAGCGGCGAAGGCGGCCUUCUGGACGGUGACUGACGCUGAGACGCGAAAGCGUGGGGAGCAAACAGG